rnacentral:rRNA from 1 species
UACGUAGGGGGCAAGCGUUGUCCGGAUUUAUUGGGCGUAAAGAGCGUGUAGGCGGUUUGGUAGGUCCGCUGUGAAAACUCGAGGCUCAACCUCGAGACGCCGAUGGAAACCAUCAGACUAGAGUCCGGAAGAGGAGAGUGGAAUUCCUGGUGUAGCGGUGAAAUGCGCAGAUAUCAGGAAGAACACCCGUGGCUAAGGCGGCUCUCUAGUACGGUACUGACGCUGAGACGCGAAAGCGUGGGGAGCGAACAGG